ACCGCGACCCCAGGUCAGGCGGGACUAC
rnacentral:rRNA from 1 species